GAGAGGCGCAGAACGUGUUCGAUCGACCCGCGAACGCAGCCCGUGCUCACACUGCGACAGAGUUCACUUCAGUCAGUCGCUAUUUGCUUGUCGACCGCGUACAGUCGCGUCGGUUCACGAUCUUUUCCCUCUCUUUCUUCGUGAAAGCCUUUUCGCGGUAGCCGGCCUAUAAUAUUGCCAACUUGUCGCGCGAUUAUCGCUACCGUUCCCCUUUUUACCCUGUGUUCUCCGCAAAAAGAAAAAAGGCAUUUGCACGGACCUCCGUCGUCUGCUAGGAGUACUUUGCUCGGACACAUGGGCUGCUAGGCACGAGGGAUGAUUCAGGCAUAAACGUGAUGCACUUUGGAGAUAACGUGUGUCUGGCUGCUGCAGUACGCGCCCAGUGGUUGCUUCAAUAGCUGGUUUCCAUAUAUUCUUCGUGGGGGAUAUCAUCCUUCGAUUUUCUGCGUCCAACAAUCAAGGACCAUGAACAGAAAUUCAAGCCUUUACUCGAGGAUACUAGCGUGGACAUCCUGUUUACUCGCUGUUCUUCUCAUUCUGCUUCCCUCGAGGACUGCCGCCUUGGAGGAGAACUGCACGGACUUCCAGGGGACGAUCGUUCGGCAUGGUCUCCUCUAUGUACCGGGUCCUGCGGUUUGCAGUCUCUGCGUCUGCUAUCAUUCGGAGCCAAUGUGGUGUCGAUCGAUCUUCUGCACGCCACCCUACAAAUGCAAGAAGUUUCGCGUCGGCGAGCGAUGCUGCGAAUUCGAGUGCCUGGAUGACACGGAUUGGACUGGACCUGAUCUGAUCAUUGCCUCUGGUUCCUCCAGGGUUCAAGAACAAGGGAUAUUCUGGCUGAUAGGUCUGACGGCGCUGCUGAGAGCGCUCUAGUUCUAUAACGAGGCUCCAGAGGGCGUCGUUGAGAUUCAGCCAUUCAGAACAUCGACGACGAAGGAAUUUCUGGCCAAACGCGUGCAAUAUAAGAAAUCUAUAGACAAAGGAACCAAAGGAACGAAAUUUCUCAGUGUGCUGUCGCAAAGUUUGGUGUCUACUUGGCGUCUUUGUCAUUUCGUUGCGACACGAUUUGUGUUAAAGGAAGAGGGAACAAAAGCAAAAGCAAGAGGAGACGAUCGUUUGUGUUUCUCUUAUCUUUCUCGAGGGACAACAUGAACCCUUUCCAGCUGACAGAUAGCCAUCGUUUCCUCGAACUUUUUUCCUUUUUUAUAUCAGCAACAUUGCUAGAUUUUUUGCUCUUUGACCUUCUAUCGAGUCAGGCGUUGUAUUAAUCGACAUUAAUCGACCAAUUUCUCUAAGCUUGUAACUUCGAACUAACGUUUACAUGUAAAAAGUGUUAUUAAUUUAUCUGAAUGUAAAUAUUUAGAUCGACUUAUAGAUUUAAUAUUGCUAUACGAUACGUAAACUACCUUUUGAUCGCGAAGUUGUGUCAUUUGAUCAAGGGGUCCUUUAUGUAUGAGUAAUCAUUCU